AAGUUACGCAUUUUUCUCUUUAUAGGAAAGAGGAAACCAAAUUUAUUUCAGGUAGCAUAAAUUAGUUUUAAAAUGUUCCAGUGAGUUAUCUCAUAUCCAUUGUAGGAUAAGAUGUGUGGUGAAAAUAAUCUUUGAAGUGAAUUACUGCCAUGAAUUUAACUUGAUCAGGAAAGCUGAGAGAACAGGGCUUCCUUAUGACUGUAGUGCAGGUUUUUUUUUUCUUUUGUACUUUAGAGUGUAUAGAGUUCUCGUUCUUUUGUAAAAGCUGAAAAAGUGAGUGGAGUUACUAUAGUAAUGUGCCUGGGUUUGUCAUAUAAAGUUCUUGAAGUUUACAGUGAGUGAGAUUUGACAGUCUUUGGAGGUUAGGAUUGUUUUUAACAAUGACAGACUGCCAAUAAAAAUUAAGAGGUUUAAAAUGUCCUUAUUUAUGGGAUUAGUUAGGAGAAAGGACAUCAUUUAAGAAAACAGGUAAAUUUGAACUUAGUCUUAUCAACUUAUUGAUUCACAUAUAGCUACAGUAAAACAGUGUCUAUUAAUAACUUAGCCAUUUAUUGAAAUUUUCUGUUACAAUAAUACACCAGUUUUAUAGACACAAUUUCACUUAAUCCUCAAUGCAGUUUUUAUAAAUUAGCAUUUUCUGCCCUUUAAUGAUAAGGAAAAAAAGGUUAAGUUGGUAUCAUUAUUUAUAUUAUUAGAAGCUAGUAAGUAUGUGCUAGGUGCUAUGCUAAAAGGUUACCUGCAUUUCUUUCCUCAUUUUAUCUUUAUAAUGGCAGUUACCUCAUUUUACUAAAAAGAAAAUUUAGGGUUAAAGAAGUUAAGUCACAGUUAGUUUAAGUGACACAAUUGGAAUUCCAAUCCAGGUUUCUGACAUCAAAGUGUGUGCUUU